AGGUAUCAAAGGACAUAUGACACUGAUUCAAGAAGGAAUACAAACAGUGGAGAAAACAAGCUAUUCUUCAAACAGAACAGUCAAAAAAUCCACUCCAGCUGUUCAGACUAUACAGAUGUGGGUGAAAAGAGAGAGAGAAAUAUCAGACGUGGAAAUGAAUGGAGAACAGGAUCAAAUCUGUGUAACGAAAAUGGGUAUAAAACUAAGCAGAAGGCUCAUUCUGAAAUGCGCCAACCAAGAUCUAGGAAAAGAAAGGGUUCUGUAUCUCCUGCUAAAAACAC